CUCAGAUCAAGUUUCCAAUAGAAUAUCCAACAGCAGGUAUUAGGUAGUUGCGAUAUUGAAAAAAAUUGAUAUAUCGAUAUCGAAAAAAAAAUAUCGAUAAUAUCGACUAUAUCGAAUUAUGCAAAUGAGAAAAUGUAAUUUAGUCAACUUGCAUGUAUACGCAUCACAAACAAUUAAAAAGAAGUGCAUGAAACCAGUCAUGGUAUGUCUCAAAGAUUUAUUAACAACGGUUUAUCUGUCAUCUCCAACUCAGCUUUUAAUUUCAAUUGCCCACACACUUGUAUCAUAAAUUCGCAAUUGCCGCCAUACACAUGUUGUCUAAACUUCAC